ACAAGUGAGGGAAGUUUGUCUGUGACAUCUGACACCCCAUCACCUUCCAGCCAGAUUCAGCUGAGGGGGCUAAGUGGUGUCUCCUUCCUCCCUCCCUCCUCCCGGUGCCUCAGUUGCAAAGCUGCAUGCUCAGUUGAUAAGGAUGACUUUUCCUCACAGAGGAGGUGGGUCACAGGUGAAGGGCAUAUGAACAACUGAAAUCUCCUGUUAUAAUCUCUAAACAUACUCUGAGUGAUGUUUUCAGAUCUACUGAAUGGCUGUUCACAAUUCUAUCCCUCACUCACAUUCACAACUAUCUUACUUCCUAAUGU
ensembl:misc_RNA Gm23069 predicted gene, 23069